rnacentral:lncRNA from 1 species
UCUCCUUAGGACCACCCUCAGCAAACCUAUGAAGUAGACAUUACUUUAUGAUGUGUUCUCUUACGACAAGCAACUAGCAUUUUCACAUCCUUCAACUGCACCCACAAACCCAUUUCCCUACGAAUCUGGAAAGUGUGUGCUCUGUCUGCUAUUCUCGCACAUGAGCAAAGCUAUACUUUGGAAAGAGAACGGAGUACUGCUCUCACCUUCUCCGUAAGCCGUGGGUCAACUUGAGAAGAAGCAGACCGGGAGUGAGUGUUGGGUGUAGUGAUGGAACAGAGCUUAGAAACCUACCAGGCAGCAUCCAAGGAAAAAACUGAAAGUGAGCCUGGUAAACUAGACAAAGCAGCCAUGAUUCCAAAGAGGGUGAUGAGUGGAAGAGCGUCAUCCAGAAGUCUGUGCAAAAUCCCAGUAACAGCUGGUAGGAUCAGAAUUCCCUAUGCAUCCUAGGAAAGUGCAACUGUGGAACAAACCAAAGAAAAGGAAGGAAAUCUGAAACUCGAAAGGAGAAGUAAGCGUGCAGUGGGGACGGUCACAUGAUGUAGUGGUCAUAGCGCAGGGGGCCAUAAAUAAGAAUGUCUUCUUUGCAAAGGGAAAACACAGCUGCUAGGUUUACAACCCAAAAGACUUUUCAGAUUUCUAGGGGCUCAGUAUGACCGCAAGAGAGGUGGGAGCGGAGAUAAGGGAGCUGAAAUCUGUUUUGACCACUCAACUGUAAUAACACUUCUCGUUUAUCACUGUAGGCAAUAAGAGGAAGCCAUGAGGUCACAAAGUUGAACAAGACUGAGCAACUAAACACAGGAUAUGGUAGCAUGUGUUAAAAAGCCAUGCAAGUUACUGAUGUGGAAAUGAGAAAAAAGAUGAAAUACUUAUGGAAUUUUAAAAAUUUGCAAUGUAACUGACAUAUUACCUUAAGGGGUGCAAUAUAACUUGAUGUAACAAAGUAAGUUUAGUCAAUAUUUAUCACCUUAUGUAGUAACAAUUUUUCUUGUCACAGCUUUUAAGGUUUACUCCUAAGAUGGAAUUUUUCACUGCUGUUAUGCUUUUCAAAAUACCUAUGAAUUCUGCAUAUUUGCUUUUUUCAUGUUUUCUAACCCACUUACCAAAAACAUUCUCCUUUCCAAAUUAAGCCAACCUCUACCAAAAGCAACUUAAAUGAUAUUUACUAUUUCUAGCAUACUUAUUUUGAAGUUUU